GAUGAACGCUAGCGGCAGGCUUAACACAUGCAAGUCGAGGGACAGCGCGAUGUAGCAAUACAUUGGCGGCGACCGGCGCACGGGUGCGUAACACGUAUGGAAUCUGCCCUUUACUGGGGGAUAGCCCGGAGAAAUCCGGAUUAAUACCCCAUAAUAAUCGAGGUGGCAUCACCUUGAUUUGAAAGCUCCGGCGGUAAAGGAUGACCAUGCGCACGAUUAGCUAGUAGGUGAGGUAACGGCUCACCUAGGCUACGAUCGUUAGGGGGCCUGAGAGGGUUAUCCCCCACACUGGUACUGAGACACGGACCAGACUCCUACGGGAGGCAGCAGUGAGGAAUAUUGCGCAAUGGAGGCAACUCUGACGCAGCCAUGCCGCGUGAGGGAAGAAGGUCCUCUGGAUUGUAAACCUCUUUUGGCGGGAAACAAACCUGCGCUAUACGCGCAGCUGAGGGUACCUGCAGAAUAAGCACCGGCUAACUCCGUGCCAG
rnacentral:rRNA from 1 species